rnacentral:sRNA from 1 species
CACCACAUAAUAUUAUGAAACAAUAGUUGUUCAAUCGGACAGCAAGCAAUAUGGUAUUUCGCGCAGGGUCAACGCCAUAUUCCCAUAUCUAAAGGGUUGAAAACAUACAUGACACUACCGGGAUACAGCACCUGCCUUCUCUAUGCUAUAUCGAUAUGGACAGGAAGAAAAACAAGUGCUGUAACGUCAGGAAAUUAAGUGACAAGGAAGAGCUUUGCGACGCUCUCUAUAACUUCAGCGGGCACAGCGACAGCUCUCAAGAGAUUGAUGAGUUAGCAGUGCUAUUGAAGCAAGCAAGGAAGAGAAACUCCCCUGAUCGAACACUCUCACGAUCUCCUGGACGAGAAAGGAGCAACACCCUCCCAGAUCACCAUAGUCUUAAACGCCAAAAGGACACUGACGCACAGGAUAUUGUUAAUACUAUGGGAUCCGACAAGUCCACAUCUGCGAGAUCUGCAUUUCCGAAAAGGAGAUCAACAGCGGAUGAUGCUGCGGGAAAGCCCUCGAUGUCCAGGAGAAGACGCGAGCCAACCAUCCGGGUUCGUCCGGAACAUCAGCAAAUAUUCAGGGGAAUGGUGUUUUUUUUCAUCCCUAACGACGACAUCUCCCCUGCACGUCGCAUG